rnacentral:siRNA from 1 species
CAUCCUCGGACUCAACCUCUCCA